GCGGAGAUCAUACGGGCCCCUAGUUAUUUGAGAACGCUUUCCUUGAUAAAAUUUAAGCGUUUUAUAAGAGGAUGCCGGGGAAGGUUUUCCGGUUUAUCCCGGAGGGCUUGUAACUCAAUUGGUUAAAGCGCGCGCUUGAUAGGCGUGAGGACGGAGGUUCAGGUCCUCCCAGGCCCACCAAUAAAAGCUCACCAAGUCCUCCCAGGCCCACCAAUUAAACAUGGGGGGCGGGGAGCUGCUGGCACCCCUCCCCUUGCUGUUGGGGUCUGAGGCCUGACCCCAGGCCCGGGACAGCCACACUCCGUGCUGGGAGCAAGUCCUCCCAGGCCCACCAAUUAA
rnacentral:tRNA from 1 species